rnacentral:rRNA from 1 species
GAUGAACGCUGGCGGCGUGCCUAAUACAUGCAAGUCGAGCGAACGGACGAGAAGCUUGCUUCUCUGAUGUUAGCGGCGGACGGGUGAGUAACACGUGGAUAACCUACCUAUAAGACUGGGAUAACUUCGGGAAACCGGAGCUAAUACCGGAUAAUAUUUUGAACCGCAUGGUUCAAAAGUGAAAGACGGUCUUGCUGUCACUUAUAGAUGGGUCCGCGCUGCAUUAGCUAGUUGGUAAGGUAACGGCUUACCAAGGCAACGAUGCAUAGCCGACCUGAGAGGGUGAUCGGCCACACUGGAACUGAGACACGGUCCAGACUCCUACGGGAGGCAGCAGUAGGGAAUCUUCCGCAAUGGGCGAAAGCCUGACGGAGCAACGCCGCGUGAGUGACGAAGGUCUUCGGAUCGUAAAACUCUGUUAUUAGGGAAGAACAUAUGUGUAAGUAACUGUGCACAUCUUGACGGUACCUAAUCAGAAAGCCACGGCUAACUACGUG